rfam:Felis catus isolate Cinnamon breed Abyssinian chromosome D2, whole genome shotgun sequence.
GCCUGGGUGGCUCAGUCGGUUGAGCGUCCGACUUCGGCUCGGGUCAUGAUCUCACGGUCCGUGAGUUCGAGCCCCGCGUCGGGCU